UCUCCUUCCGCCAAAGCAGGCACACCUUUCCCUCCGUGGUCCUCCAGCGUUUCUUACCUUCUUGUCGCCGCUUUGAGCCUCGUUGUCUGGCUGUGAACUCUCACCCCAGCUGCUUGGGAAAUGUCAUACAGGCAGAGGCCCGUGCUGCAGUAGGGGGGCGUAAUAGGAGGAAAAAAUAACAUUUUCACUGCUCUCACUGCAUCUUUUUUUAUUCGCGUCUCUGAGGUGCAAGUGCCACAUCCCCGCUACCAACACCACCACCAGCAGCAGCUGCAGCCGCCGAUAACUAACCGCAGUCUCAAUGCUCACCUCGCAUUAGGACUGAUAUUUAAAAAAAAGAAAAGAAAAGAACAGAAAAAAAAAUCCGUGCCAGACAUGGGGAAGAACAUUAAUCUUCUUUGGAAGAUGUCAAUCCAGCAGACUAACUGGCUUGUGAUGCUGAUGCCCAGCAGACGAUCCUGGGACUGAGACGCGGAUCCCUUUACACUGAUGGCCUGGACUGAGUUUCAGCUGGCCUGCUGAAGCUAUGGGGAGCUGUUGGAGCUGUUUAUACAGAGACCCCAUCCGAGACAACCAUCUCACCAAAUUUAAGGUCACCAAUGUAGACGAUGAGGGCAAUGAGCUGGGCUCUGGGAUCAUGGAGCUCACCCAAACUGAGCUCAUUCUUCACACACGUAAGAGGGACGCCAUCCGGUGGCCAUAUCUCUGCCUGCGACGCUACGGCUAUGACUCCAAUCUGUUUUCUUUUGAGAGUGGCCGCCGCUGUCAGACCGGGCAGGGAAUCUUUGCAUUCAAGUGUUCUCGGGCAGAAGAGAUCUUCAAUCUGCUCCAGGAGCUGAUGCAGUGCAACAGCAUCAACGUGGUGGAAGAGUCGAUGAUGAUGAGUCGCAGCGGUCACACACCAGAGAUGGAGAUGUCUCGCACACCACAGACACCCAACACUCCAGCAUUUCCUGUCCAGGCUUUUCCCAAUGGAUACCCUGGUUAUCCUAUCAGAGGAGAUUCCUCUCAACCAUCGAUUGCUGAUGAUCAUGGACAUAGCCUCAUGGGUUUGGAAGACCAGACCCACACCUAUGUAAAUACUGUGAGCAUGGAGGGGGAUCUUUCCAUGCGUCAUUGUGUGCACUCUCUACCUGAGGUACGGCCUAGCACUUUUCCUGAAACAACACGGGGAGCCAUGCCUGUAGGGGGCCAAGGAAAUCCGCAGUCCAACCUGCGGUGCUGUCCCCUCGAGGAGCAUAAAGAUCCUCAGGUGUUCCUACAGACGUCCUCGCAGGAGGUCAAAUUCAUGCUGGGUCCCACUCCAGCGCAACGGCAUCUGCUGGAGAGAGAGAGGGAGAGGCACGGGCACAAUCCUCACAACCUUCAGCCAGUAGAGGGCGCAGCAAGCUCAGAGACGGAAGGAGACGAGCCCUCUAUGCACCUGUGCAACUCUCACUCCUAUCACCAUUUCCAUCAUCACACGCACCGGCACCCGGGCCACGAGCACCAGGAGGGCUGCCAGAGUGGCGAGCUCACCUACGAGAAUAUCAACGGCCUGCGAAGCGGCCGUAAGCAGCGUCUGAGUCCCAGCAGCGUGUCGCAAUCCGUAGGUUCAAGCAGCAGUAGCAGCACCGGGGACAGUCAUUCUCACUCCCUCUUACACGGUCACGGGCCGACAUCUCUACCCCCGCAGGGGUACCCCUGUGAGAGGGGCAUGGGUGGAGCUCAUCGUCGGACAGCUCUGCUUAACUACGAGAACUUACCCUCUCUGCCGCCGGUGUGGGAGUACAGCGCUCUGCAGCGGGAUGAUGAGCAGGAAGAGGAAGAUGAUGACCAGGAUGAUGAGGAAUAUGAAGAAGAAGAAGAAGAUUUUGAUGAGUACGAAUUCUCAGAAGGCCCCGGGACCCCCAACGGUUACCAUCAAGACGGCCGGGGCAUCCACAGAGACGCCCUGCAGAACUAUGUCAACACAGAGCAGGUCCAGCCUCCCCGGCUUCGACACGCCUGCCCCCCGCAUCCACAGCCGUGUCACUCAGACAGAGGGGGGCGAAUAUUUAGCUUUGAUUUCCGCAGACGAUCGAGGUCAGGGGUUGGAGGCUGUGAGCACAGCCACAUGCCUCCUUCGCGGCAGCUGAAUUACAUCCAGGUGGACCUGGAGGGAGAACCUCCCUGCCAAGCCCUCAGCAGCGGGGGUGCCCAGACCCAGCCACAGCACCAGCGCCUACCACCCAAAAAAUGUGGUCCGCAGGCACCCCGGCGCAGCGAAUGCUACGCAGUCAUUGACCUAAAGAAGACCGCUGCCAUGUCCAACCUGCAGAAAGCUCUGCCCAGGGAUGAUGGGACUUCCAGAAAGACUCGCCACAACAGCACAGACCUGCCUCUGUAAAUGGUGUUCAAACUGAAGAGGAGCGAUGAAGACAGAUGAAGGCUUAUCCUCAUCUUAGCACACUGGACCCUUCACUGUCAUCCAUCCAUUCAACUGUCGGGCUGAUCAGUACAGUACAGGUACCUAAUUAGAAACUUACUGAAACUUAUCUGUGCAUAUUCAAGCAAAAGAGAAAUCUCUGAGGAGAAUUUGCCAUUUUAUUUUGUGUUGUCAGAUAUUUGGUGUAAAGCUCUCUGGAGAAAUCUGCAGUUUUUUUUUCUGCAGACAAUUGCUGGAUAUUUGAAUAUUAUUAUAUCUAACCAUAAAGUCACAUAUAUGUAUGUAAAAUAUAUAUAUGUAUAUAUGACUUUUGGCUUAGUUUGGCCGAGAGUUUAGCAGAGAGUUAUAAGUAGAAGCAGUCGUUGCCAUAAUGUUUUAGUGCAAAUUUUUUAAAACCAUCUACACUCAUAAAUGUUGUUGCUCCUAUCAUUUAGUUUGGUUCCAAACACUUUGAGUGUCAGAGUUGUGAACCUCAUCUCAGAAAUUAUGUUGUUGGCAUGAAGGAUGGUAAUGGUUCCUCCCAGAUACUGGUCAAUGUUCAUACCUCAUCAAAAGCACUUAAAUCUAAUGUUGUGGCUAGUAGAAGAGACCAUUAUUUGUUACUGUAUGCCUAUAGAGCAUUUUGCACACAAUCCUAUGGAAUUGUAUUUCAUCUUUUUUUUUCCUUUUUUAAGGAGUUAUUUAGUUCAGUCCUAGCUUAAAAAAAGAGAUGGCUUAAAUAAAUCGAAGAGAAUGUGAUAUUUGAAGAAAUAUACUAGACUAAAUGACGGUAAAAGUAGCACACAUGCAUUAAAUGAGCUUUGGCUCCCUCCUAUCAACAUGCAGCAAUUGAAAAAGUAGCAUAUCAACUUUGAUCACACCUCCUGCUUAUCAUCUCAAACCUGCAGGAGGUUCACGCUUGUCACGUUGCACUUUUGACCCUGGGCCGCUGAAACGCUCUUUGUCACCACUCCCGCGCCACUGGAGCCACAGGUUGUGUCCUUUUACCAAAAACAGGGGGCCAAAUAUUUCCCGGAGAUAAUAAUGUAGAUAGUUUAUUUAAAUGUUCUUGAUGGAGACGCUGAUAACCUCAAAUCGUGGCAUUAAGCUAUAACCUCACACAAAAUGUUGUCAGUUAUCAGGUACGGAUGUUCUGUUUGGAAAGGGUUGUCGCAAAAUCAUCCACUGAAGAUUUUUGUGAGAGAAAUUAUCAACCAAUUAUCAGAUAUUUAUUUAUUUAUUUAUUUAUUUCACUUUAAUUUAUUCUCUCUCUCUCUCGCUCUUUUUUUUAAAAAAGUUGUAGUAAUUUUGUUUUCCACGUGACGACCAGCGUUUUGUAGUCCAGUUGGUAAUAUGGAGACCAAAGUUUCACCUCAGAUUACCACUGGACACUGAUGUAUUACUGUUAUAACUGUGCUUAAUUAUAUUUUAAACAAAAGAAAGACUGUAUUUAUAUUUUAAGUGCCAAAACUUAAUUGCAAACUGUACGAUGAAUAAAAUCAAAUGUGCCAUUUGGGUUGGUAGAAAUCUAUAGGACAGAAAGGCAUAAGAGGAGAACAGUCAGAAGACAAAAAAAAGAAGAUCCUGCUUUUUAAGGAUAACACAAGCUAAAAUAAUAAAAUCUGCACAUUCCACCUCAUCCACAUCGACAGCCAUUUCGAAGGGGGAUAUAAGAAUGGUAAUCUUGUGGUCUGAUAAUCACUGUUAGGGUGGUUUUUAUGCUGCUACAUGUACAUACUAACAGUAGCCCAUGUAAGCUACAUGAAAAAAAAUGAUGUGAUGUCAGAUCCUUUAUCAUAUCGUUGAUAGAAGUAGCAUUGUUGUGUUCUCCUGAGAUUUUUUUGUUUUCUCAGAGCUGUACAAAUGUCACGUACCAUUUAAUUGAAUGUUUAAUUUGACCAAUAUUUCAUGUAAUCGAGAUUGUUUUCUGAUUAACUGUCUGGUAUGGGGAGAGUUAAUGGAAGCACAUGAAUCUGUCUCUUUCUUUGUUCUUCUUCUUUUUUUAAAAAAUUUAUUUAAAUGAGCGUUCACAUCAGGGUGAUGUUUUCAGCCUAUAAAGGAAGGCCAGAUGUUCAAUGUUUACACAUGUGCGGGCCUUCAGAUGCAGAUGUAUUGUGGCAUUAAGCUGAAGUUGGUCUUUUUUUUUUUCCACGCAGCAUUUAGAUUAAAUGAGACAAAAAUGCAUUUUUUAACAUCUGUGCAUGAACGCAAGUAUUCAAGCUGAGUGGAUACAACCUUUUAAAAUGUGUUAAGAAUAAACAGAGCCCAACCAAUUUAUUGACGUGCAGAUGUUAUCGGACGAUAUUAGCUAUUUGCUGAGAUAUUAGUGUUAGGGUUUAUAAUGUUCGAUAAAUUAAAAUUAAAAAGGUAAAGAAGAGACAGAAAAAACACCCUUCAACCGUGCUCUGAGUGUUGAUGUUGCAUGGUUUGUCCAUCAGAGGGCACUCUACAGCUUCCUUCUUGUGAACACAUCUGUUUGGAACAGACAACAACAGCCGGCUGAUCCAAACAGAGUUGGCCAGAGCGUAAACGCAUAAAUAAAUAACAAGAAAUAAAAAAUGUUGGGGAAUUCUUUUUGUUUAAUGUGCCUGAAAGAGAGAAAAACGAUACAAAACAAAUGUUUAUAUCGCAGUAUCGGAUAUCAAUAUCUUAAAAAUUCGGAAGGGCUCUUCUGUGCUUAUGUGAAGCUAAAACUAAAACCUAAAUUCUCCUGUUCCCUGAAACUAUAUAUUAUCAUAUUUCAGUUCCUACUUCAGAUAUUUUCCUCAAAUACAAAACAGAAAUAAGCAGUUGUGUGAGGCAUUAUACAUCUAAAAUUGUUAAUUAUUACUUGUGUAUUUUAGUCCCAAAUAUUGUUGUACUACUGUUACUUUCAGGAAAAAGUAGUAAAUAUUCAGAUUCUUUAAAAGUUUGAUCAUAUGUAACCAGCAGGCUUUUUAAAAAAUAUAUUUUUGCCCUAAUUAGUUAUUAAAAUGUUCAGUUAAUUAGUUAAAGAUGGCUGCAAAUAUAAAAUAAUCUACUACUAAUGUUUUAUUGUUAGUAAGUGUUCAAAAGCAUUUUACAAUUUAUUAGUUUUAUCAGACAACAACAACAAUCUUAUCUAUUAUUUUUCUAACUAUCCAUUCAAAACCACAAACAUUAAACUUGAAACUGUGAAACCCUCAAAUGAUUGACAAAGCAGUUAAUCAGCUUUCACUGUAGUAAAAUAAGUGUAAAUUAGCUUGCUAACGUUACAUAAAAACUAAAUUUAAAUUUGAUUGUUUUUGAUUUUGCUCUUUGACAAAAAUACGAUAACUCUAUUUAUAUUUUAAAAAAAGACCAACUUGUAGCUGCCAUUUUUGCUGGAUUUGCGAGGACAUUAUUGCGAUACGUGAGAGGGAUGUUUACAUUUUUUGCAAUAAUAUGUAAUUCAUUGUUUUGCCAAUCCAAAUUGGACCAAUAUUUGAAGAGUAUUGAAAUGUAUAGUCUAAAGAGGUGUGGGCUUAAUGUAUUUAAUCACAUGUUUGUCUAUGAAUCUUAUUAUUUGAGAUACAAUGUUCAUUUUUCAGCCUCAGUAGAGUGAAUUUGACUUUGAAAAGAAAAAAAAAAAGGAAAAAUGUUUUCUUGACUGUCAGUUAGCUCAACAUGAACAGUGCCAUAUAUUAUGUCACCAUUGCCAAUACUUCAGAGUUUAUUGCGUUACAUUUUUCAAAGCUGUGAUGAUGUAUCAUAAACAACUCAGUAAGUCAAUCAUCCAUUUUCUCAGAAUAAUGUUACAUGUGGUUUUAUAGGCAUUAUAAAAUUCAGCACCAUUACCAUGAUUGCCAGUGUUUAUUGAUUAAUAAUCAAUGACGUUUAAGUAAUAGUUUUUCAGAUCAUUCAGCUUCAAAGUACUGAUCUUAUCUCAUCGCUGCUGAGGUCAAACGAACUCAGGGGCCAUAAGAUAACGGCACCCACCUCAUUACUCACUGUGAUUGGCCUGGUGCCGAUGCUAUCUCAAGCAUUUACUUUUCAUAAACUUUAGUAUUUAUGCCUAAGGCAUGAUUCACACAGGUGUCUAUGAGGUUGUCAGUGUGGUGUGGUUGUUUCUGCUUGUGCAGUCUGCAGGGCAAGUGGCAACGAGUCCUCUCAUUAGGUUCCCCAAAACAGCAUUUAUUUGAAGGGGUUGUUUUAAAAUAAAAGUUAAAAAAAAAUAAUAUAUAUUCUUUGUGUUUACCGUGAAAGCGUAAUUGCAUAUCUUAUCCAUUUAAAAAAAAAAAAAAAAUUAAAAAUCUUGUUGUGCCUUGCAUUUUCAAGCUGAAGAAAUAUCUUUACUGCCAUUGAUGGCAGCAUCCUGAUGGAGAAAGAAAGUCAGCACCUCUUGAAGGUUUGGAGACUGAAAGUAAAAUGGCCUUUUAGUCAUUUGUGUUGUACUUUGUAGUCAAUACUGAUGGUCAAUCACUGUAUUUUUUUCCCCCUUUUAUUUUUCUUAAAUGAUGUCUGUUAAAAGAGAAGUUUGGCAUUUUGGGAUACAUGAAUAUUUGUUUUCUUACUAAGAGUUAGAUUGACGCUACAGACGCUCUCAUGUGAUAUGAAAGACGUAGACGUAGGUUUGUGAAGCCCUGGUUUGAAGCCUCAAGUUUAGCAUGUUAUCUGCUGCCAUGAUGGGUGUUUUCUUUGGCACAUUUUGAGGGUGGCGUGCUAAUUUAUCAGCUAACGCUAGCAAUCCUGGGUAGCUUGGAUAGCACAUUUGUGGUGACGCUGAGCUUCGCAAGCUUCUGAUUUCCCAUCAGCUGCAGCUUCUGUUGGUGUAGCUGACACAUUUUACAUCUUGGUUUUUUUGUUUGUUUGUUUUUUGGGGGGGUUUUUUGUAUAUGAACGAAUGUGUUGGGUUUAAAGAAUACAGCGGGAACAGAAAGAAAAGGCCAGCAGUUAUACAUUACAUUGUCUUCAUCAGUGCUUUCAAUCACCAUCAUCAUAAAAAUGACAUAUUGUAAAACCUCAACUUCCUGUUCAUGCUACAAGAUCUUUGUCAAAAUACUGAAAAGCAUCAGAAAACUGUAAUAUCAUAUUAUUAUUAUUAUUAUUAUUAUUAUUGUUAUUAUUAUUAUUAUUGUGUAUUUUUUUUUUUAAAUCUGGUUUGUUUUUGUCCGGGUGUAAUUGCCACCAGGGGGUGAUGUACAUGUACGGGUCUGAGCUGUACAUUUUUGUGACUGAUUUGUGUAUUUACAUACAGUUUGGGCUAACUUUGUGACUAUUAUAUGAAUUUAUGAAUUAAAUGAGUGCCAAAUAUGCUUGAGCAUGACAAAAUCCGGGACCUGCAAGGAGCUGCAGGCACUCUGACUCAUCAGAGCGAUGCCCGAGUGACUCACUGCUGUUGUAGACUCUCCUUGAGUUUUGAACGCACAGCUGAAGGUUUAAUCAUGCUUAAUAUUUUUGAUGAAAGUGCAGGGGGGACUUCUUUAUGUUUUGGUCUCAGUUUGAAAAAGUUUCUUCAGAUAUUUGUUGUAUGUUUCUGUGUCCACCCAUGGCUUAUUAAUGAGUAUGCAGUGAUGGUCUUAUCAUGCUGCCAUUAGAGGUGACUAUAAAAGCUUCAUUUGUUGAACUGUCAAAAAAGGAAAAAAAAAAAAAAGAAAAAGGUCAUUUGGGUCAUUUUCAUUCUUAAAUCAUUCCACACAGAGAUGCGUUGUAUGUUAUCUGAACUCCUCUUCAUCCCCAAAAUAAGGUGAGCCUGACAUCUGGUGAAUUUUACCCUGAAUUUUAUCAAAUAUAGAGUGUGGAUUUGUCCAAAAUGUAAAAGUAAAUGUAAUUCUAAUAUUAAAAUGAAGCUAUGGAAAAAAAAAAAAAAAUCCAUUGUGCACUAAAUGGUGUCGGUUUUUCAAAAACUAACAAAGCUUUUUCCCCUCCAGGAUCACGUGCCUCGUCGUUCUAACAUUAUGGCAUUUACUGGAUAUAUUUUUACAAUAAGAGUUUAAGAUUUAGAGAAAAGAAAAGGGGGGAAAAAAAUCUGAUUAACGUCAUAAGAAACCUGAUAACUUUAAGAAGAGAAAAGCUUUGUUCCACAAGCAUGUGAAACUGUCCUUAUAAAAUGCCUGUAAUACAAUACCCCGAGUGUUGCACUGAAGAUCAUUCAUCCUCAGGCGCAGCAGCUAAGAGGUGAGCUGACAGGAAUGCCUUUACUCUACGGAGAUGAGUGACGUUAAAUGUAUGAAGGCCAUUGGAAGCAGAAUGAGUAGCUCGAUGUCCUGCACAAGAGGAGUUAUUUACUCUUCAAAUUGUGGUUUACCAACAAUUAAAUAGUGAUUUUUAUUCCAGAUUUAUUUUUGCAUCUUUUAAGCACGUCUCCCUGUGUGAUGGUAAUUAUAUGUACAGAGAAUGUGGUUCAUGUGAGCUUUAGAUUUACACCAAAAUGUAAAUAUAUUCCUUAAAUGGGAGAAGCCUUGUGUUCAUAUGACUGUCUGGAUAUUCUAUCAAAAAGUAAAUAAACAAAGCACCACUUUACUGGGAGGCUCGGUGGCUUUAGCUAAAGUGAUUAAUAAGAGAACACCAGUAGAUGUACAAUGGCCUUUCACUGUGUCUUGAAACUUGCUGCUGUUUGUCGCUUGGGUGUCUGAUUUCUAUGUGAGCAUAGAACCUGAAAUACCAGAAAUAUGAUUGGCUGUCUGUGAUUUCACUAGAAACACUUGAGCUUGUCAUUGUGCAGCAACCAGAGGGAUUAUUUAACAUGCAUUCAAACCUGCAAGCAGCAACUGCACGCUUAAAGGUUGAAGACAUACAAAGUUUGGUGGAUUUAUACAUGAGUUACUGCAUACCAGCCAUACACACACACCUCACAGUGUGCACCUGUCUUCCAUUGUAUGAAAACAGCAGUCACAAUCCCACACUCAAAUCCCAAAAUGUCCUAAAUGCACAGCUCUGGUGCCCAUUUACUAUUUGGCAUUUUAAAAAACUGAAAAAUGUGUAGCCUAUAAACAUUUUUUUAAAUUAAUAUGUAAUUUCCUUGGUGCCUUAUCCUGGUACCUUGCUGAACCAGAAGCAUGGAUGUACAACUUUUUGUUAGCAUUUGCUCUUUUGAUUGCAAGCAGAGCCCUGCACUAGUUGGAUUAAAAUAACACUGUCAGCCUUCCUCUUCACGUGCAUCUCAGCAUGCAAUUAGUUAGCCCACUUUUGCAGUAGAUUCAUAGAUAUCCAUCGCUCCUGUGGUAGCCUUUGUUAUGACUUGCCCCUUCUGUUCCUGUCAGUUGUGCUAGAAAAAAUGGAACAAACUGACUGUGUCAAACUGACUGCUGAUUGACACAGAAAGAUAAGCAAAAUGUUCUUAAACUGACCUCAAAUUUAAAGAUUGGCUUUAAGCAUUUCAUCAACUAAAGCAAUGUAAAGGGCAAAUUGUAAAUGAUCCGCUGACAGACUCACUAUGAGUACCUGAAAACUGCACUCAGUCACAGCACUGUUGCUGCUAUUUCAGCUGCAAGAAACUGUGUUAUGUAGACCAUAAAUGGACAUCGCAUUCUCAGUAAAGGCAAUAGUGUGAAUAUAAACCUGUAUCUAGUAUUUUUAAAAUGUGACACAUUUGUACUGUAAAUACAGCUGAAUUCCUCAUUUAACAUUUAUAAUCACCAACUUCCCCAUAUCUGGAGUAAAUUAUUUACUAUGAAGGAAGUUAACCAUAUAUAAGAAGUGUAGAUGACUCUUUUGAUGUAAAAAUAAUUAACCUGUGUUUAUGAGAUAAGAGCUGCUUCCUUCUGUUUAAAGCCUUAGGGCUUAAAAAGCAUUACCAUUUCCUACAGAAAUAAGAAUACACUCGUCAAAAAUAUUUCAUUCAGUCCUAUCAUUCAGUUGCUUGAACUGUUAGCAGCAAUAACUUUCUGUAUGACUUCAUCAGUCUUUCAUAUCAUUGUGGUGGAAUUUUAGCUAAUUGUUUUUAGAGCAUUGCUGCAGUUCAUUGAGAUUUGAGGCCAUGCAUUUAUUCACAGCUCACUUAAAGGGAUAUUUGCUAGGAACGUCUACCCAGAGCUGCCAGGAAGACUGGCAGCUGUCUCACAUGUUUUCCUGUUGUUCUUACAGUAGAAUGAUGGACUUCACAUUUUUGGAAAUGGCCUUAUACACGUCACCAGAUUGAUGGGCAACAGCAAUUGUUUCUCUAAGAUUAUUGUUGAUGUCUUUCCUCCUUGUUGUGUUAACACACACCUGAGUCCUCCAGGCCAACAAACUGCCAGAGCUUCUGCUUUUAUAGAGGCGCUCACUCUUGAUGAUGAUCAGUUAAUCAACUGGAUUUGAUUAGCAGCACCUGGCUGCUUAUUACACUUGUAAUUCCUAUGGAAGCAUUAAGGAUGCACCUAGUUUUUCACAGGACUACUACAGGAGUCUUGUGAAAACCUUCUUGUUCACAUCACUGUGUAUAGUCAAGAGACACCCUUUUCAUUGCGUGUAUGCAUUUUGAGGUUAAUGAAGAGUGAUGCUGCACACAUUAUCCUUGUUCGCCUUUACACCUGUACCUAAGGAGUCAUGUCAAAGUUAAGUAGUCGGUCUUUUUCAUGUGUGUAAUUUGCUCUUUCGCUCUCUGUCAGCGUGAAUGAUUAAGGCUAAUCCAAUGUUUACUCGCACAGGUGCACAGACAGUUUAGCUACUCUCUGCCUGAUAGUGUCAGAUCCUGUGGCGACCUGAGACCAGCGUUUACAACUGGUACCUGAUGUACUCUGAGCGCCUCUUUGUAAGCGUGAGCGCGAAAUCAUGGAAGCCUGCUCACAAUUUCUUUUUGGCUUAAAGAAAAAUAAAGCCAAGGAUGUUUUCUCUUUUCUGAGUUUGGUGCGGUGUUGUGAACCGAGAUGUGAAGAGACGUGGAAUCAUUACCAAACGUCUGCUGUACAACUGAAUAACUAAAUCAAAUUAGGAACACUCAAAAGUAGCAAACUAAAAGCA